rnacentral:misc_RNA from 1 species
GUGAAUCAUCAAAUUUUUGAACGCAAAUUGCACUCUCUUCUGAUAGUAGGCCUGUUUGAGGGUCAGCCUAAAAAAAAUCUACGUAGUCUCUGUUUCGCUGUGACAUUCGUCGGUAAUUGUGUCAUCUUAAACGUUUGGGUUUUUUAAGCGGCUUAAAAUUUUCUUUACUAUUCCACGAACGUUUCUGAGAUUUUCCUUCUUACACACGUUUAAGGUAUCGAUCUUUAUUAGACCUGUCCGUGGCAUCGGAUCGCGUCCAUAAAUAUUUCGUGAACUGACCUCAUCCAGGUAAGC